AUGAAAAAAAACAUAUGGGGUAACACUGUUGUUUUUUAUUGGUCGUCAUGAAAGAAACAUGAGGGGUAACACUGUUGUUUUUUAUUGGUCGUCAUGAAAAAAAACAUAAGGGGUAACACUGUGUUUUUUUAUUGGUCGUCAUGAAAAAAAAACAUAAAGGGUAACACUGUUGUUUUUUAUUGGUCGUCUUGAAAAAAAACAUGAGGGGUAACACUGUUGUUUUUGUCAAAUAAAAUAUAAGGGGUAACACUGUUGUUUUUUAUUGGUCGUCAUGAAAAAAAAAUAUGGGGGGUAACACAGUUGUUUUUUAUCGGUCGUCAUGAAAAAAAACAUAAGGGGUAACACUGUUGUUUUUUGGUCGUCAUGAAAAAAAACAUAAGGGGUAACACUGUUGUUUUUUAAUGGUCGUCAUGAAAUAAACAUAAGGGGUAACACUGUUGUUUUUUAUUGGUCGUCAUGAAAAAAAAACAUAAGGGGUAACACUGUUGUUUUUGUCCAAUAAAAUAUAAGGGGUAACACUGUCGUUUUUUA
ensembl:lncRNA